rnacentral:rRNA from 1 species
UAAGGCUAUAACUUAAAGGAAUUGUCGGGGGGGCACACAAGGGGUGGAGCUUGCGGCUCAAUUGUAGUCAUCACCGGGAACCUCUACCGGGGACGACAGCAGGAAGACGGCCAGGCUAACGACCUUGCCCGACGCGCUGAGGGGAGGUGCAUGGCUGUCGCCAGCUCUUGCUAUCAAGUGUCCUGUUAAGUCAGGCAACGAGCGAGACCCCCGCCCCUAGUUGCGACCCUGCGGGCGACCGCGGGGGCACACUAGGGGGACUGCCGCCGCUAAGGCGGAGGAAGGAGGGGGCCACGGCAGGUCAGCAUGCCCCUAAACCCCCGGGCUGCACGCGGGCUACAAUGGCGGGGACAGCGGGAUCCGACCCCGAAAGGGGGAGGCAAUCCCUGAAACCCCGCCGUAGUUGGGAUCGGGGGCUGAAACUCGCCCCCGUGAACCUGGAAUCCCUAGUAACCGCGCGUCACCAUCGCGCGGUGAAUACGUCCCUGCCCCUU